rnacentral:lncRNA from 1 species
UACUAACCAAACAAGCAACUCCGAAGCAACUGGACCGCACCAACAUAUUCCGCUGAGCUAAUAGCCUACUUGGAGGUCUCUCGACAUGUAUAUUGGACCUAGGGGCAUGGAACGCAGUGUCUCCAGGAAAAAUGAACAUCAGUAGAAAUAAUUUACCGAGUAUGUAAGGAAUGAGAAUCAGUAAAUAAUAGACAUGAGGGAAAUAUGGAGUAAAAGACUUUGUAUGUAUGUUUGCAUAGCUUUGUGAAUCAUUUAAUUUUUUAUAAUGUUAUGAAUAUGCUUAUAAUUGUCAUACCAUGCAUGGGUUUAUAUGUUUAUAACGUCAUCAAGCCUCUGAGGGCAUCCCAUCAUAUCAUUUAGACCAGUAUGGGAAAAACAUCAAUGUAUACCAGCUGAUCAGGCGGUGAUGCGUAUAUAAUGCCAUAACCUUUUCCCAUAUUCCAUAUAACUAUAUAUACAUAUAUAGGCAUAUAUAACGCCAUCUGGUCAUGGGUUAAUGUACAUUUAUAAAUGUAUGAAAUGCAUAAGAAAUACGUUAAAAUUUUUUUCCCGAAAUGCCAUAAAAAUCAAUAUGCCUCUCGGAUAAACUCUAUCAUACACGUAUUUUCUGAGUCCCAUGAACGGAAGAUAUAAUAAUAAUUCACAUGGGGAAUGAAGAAUUAGUAUUUUGUGAAUAGUUUCAUUUAUGAAAGUUGUGCUUGUUUUAUUUGUAUUAUUUGGAUCAUGCCAAAAAUAAAGAAGAAAUAGCCUUAACAUACCUGAGUCGAUCCUAUAGACAAUCCUUCUAUCGCACGCCAAUCAUGACGAAAUACGUAACAACGAGAUCAAAAUAGGUAACAAUUCGUACGGAAUACCCAAAGCAAUAAUAUUGAUAUGCAAAGAUAAUCUUGCCUGAAGCUUUUCCAUAAGAACUUCGCAAUAACAUUUGGUUUUUUUGGAAAAGAUAUUUGAUUGAACUCUUUCAUAAGAGAAUAGAGAUACCAAUAGAAAGAACGAGGAAUCUUGGAUGAACUCUCAUAG